GUAUGAGAUCAUACGAUGACGGGACUCUGCCUGAGGCUCGUACAUCGCGAUGGAGCUGACACUUUAAUCCUUCUGACGAGGAUACAAGCUGGAGGGCAAGUCUGGUGCCAGCAGCCGCGGUAAUCUCCAGCUCCACUAGCGUAUAUUAAAGUUGCUGCAGUUAAAAAGCUCGUAGUCGGAUCUCGGGAUCGUGUCGGUGUUCUCGUGGUUUCUCCUGCGGUUCUGCCGUUGGGAGUUUCCGCGGGUCAUUGGCCCUGGCGGCUAGGUCCCUACCUGAUGGUGGGGUUCCACCUGGCUCGUCCAGCCCGCCGCUCCGUUUGGGCGGGUGUCCUUAAUUGGAUGCCCGCUCUCGAACGUGGCCCGUUUACCUUGAACAAAUCGGAGUGCUCAAAGCACGCUCUACGUCGCUCGAACGGUAGCGCAUGGAAAAAUGGAAUAGGACCGGCUUCCGCUUCUGUUGGUCUCACGGAGUUUUUUUUAAUUUUCAAGAGGGACUGAUGGGGGCACAUGUAUGGCUCGGCUAGAGGUGAAAUUCUUGGACCCUAACCAGACCCUCGAUAGCGAAAGCAUCUGUCAUAGAUGUUUCCAUUGAUCAAGAACGAAAGUCGCGGGAUCGAACGGGAUUAGAUACCCCGGUAGUCGCGACCGUAAACGAUGCCACCGGGAAUUCUUCGGCGUUACUUCCAUGACCCGUCGAGCGCCCUACCCUGGAAACCCACAGUCUUUGGGUUCCUGGGGGAGUAUAGUUGCAAAGCUGAAACUUAAAGGAAUUGACGGAAAGGACCACCGCGAGUGGAGCC
rnacentral:rRNA from 1 species